AUUGAACGCUGGCGGCAUGCUUUACACAUGCAAGUCGAACGGCAGCACGGGUGCUUGCACCUGGUGGCGAGUGGCGAACGGGUGAGUAAUGCAUCGGAACGUGCCUAUUAGUGGGGGAUAACGCUUCGAAAGGAGUGCUAAUACCGCAUAAUCUCUGAGGAGGAAAGCAGGGGACCUUCGGGCCUUGCGCUGAUAGAGCGGCCGAUGUCGGAUUAGCUAGUUGGUGAGGUAAAGGCUCACCAAGGCGACGAUCCGUAGCGGGUCUGAGAGGAUGAUCCGCCACACUGGGACUGAGACACGGCCCAGACUCCUACGGGAGGCAGCAGUGGGGAAUUUUGGACAAUGGGCGCAAGCCUGAUCCAGCCAUGCCGCGUGAGUGAAGAAGGCCUUCGGUUGUAAAGCUCUUUGUUCCGGAGUCAAGUCCUACUGGCUAAUAUCUGGUGGGAGUGAGAGUACUGGAAGAAUAAGCACCGGCUAACG
rnacentral:rRNA from 1 species